UCUUAUGAAUGAGCAAAGAAGGUAAUUUCUUGAGAUGGAAUCUACUCCUGAUGAAUAUGCAGUGAA
rnacentral:pre_miRNA from 1 species